CGGACCUCAGAUCAGACAAGACCACCCGCUGAGUUUAAGCAUAUCACUAAGCGGAGGAAAAGAAACUAACGAGGAUUUCCUUAGUAACGG
rnacentral:rRNA from 1 species